GCAUGGUUUAGUGGUUUGAGAGUUGGACUACAACUCUGUAGACCAGGGUUCAAACCCCUGCUCACGCA